GUGCCAUCUGAGCCAGGGAACGGUUACACGGGCAGAGGACACAGGGACAGCUGCACAUCCAUUUUGGACCUCCUGGCUCUUUUUUUUCGCUGCUUAUGAACUGGCAUUUCUUUUACAGGGAAAUAAAAGGAUGUGAAAAAAAGAAGCCAGAGGAUUACAAACAUUCGCCUACAAUGACCACUGAUACGGACAACUAAUCUGGUUCAGGGCUCCACAAUGAGCAUACAUAGGUAGGUGAAGUGUGGUGUUAGGUGACAGCAGGGAGAGUGAAGGGUUGUUUCAUGGGUGUGGAGCUCUAAAUGAGAGAUACUAUGGCCAGGCUGCGGGCUCACUGCUCUCCUCUCUAGGCCCCUCCACUGGAGUAUCAAUGCAGCAGCUGUGGGAACUCUUCCAGAACUGCAAUAAGAAAAAAAAAAAAAAAAAAAUUGCUGCAGAAAGACAGGGUGUUGCUGCAGACCUGUGCAGGACGUCUGUAACUACACAGACAGCAGCAUGUUUGCAGACAAUCAUACUCACACAAUCAUAAUCCCAUCACACAUGUACUGUGCAGAUAUUCAUUAGUAUGUGUCUUGUAUUUGUGUUCAUAGUGGCCAUGUAGGUGCACACGUAACUUAAAGCACAUAGGUGUCCUCUGCUCACACUGCAGCAAAAUGACUGCUGCUCCAGAGAGACAAGGACACACAUCUCAGCUCUUAAACUGUGCAUUAGUGAGUCAUAGUGAUAUGAGUGUGUUCAUUAGCAAAAUGUUAAGUAUAAAAAGCACGAGUACUGUUCUACAGAAAAAUGCUCUGUGACUUACCUUUACAUACUGAUGCAUUAAUUCACAUGAGGCAAUUUAAAGUAACUACUGUACUUUACAUACAGUUUAGUCUUAGUUCAGUGGUUUUCAACCUAGGGGGCCCUCAGCUUUACAGAGCUUUACAGAAAUUGUUUUGAAUUUCUUCACACAGCUGUUUUGGUUCACUGUCAUUCCUCUCAUAACCUUGCUUUCGGCCACAGUGGGCAGCUAUUUCCAGUGAAAAAGCUCUAAAAAAGCACUGUAGGCUAGCUGCCCAGCAGGGUUUGAAUUAUGGUAUUGGGGGAGUCUGACCCCCUGAUUAAGAUUUGGUUGGCAGUGUUGAAACAUUUAAAUGUCCUUCUUACCUGUAAUUGUAAAUAUUACAAUGUAUUUCCCAUACUCAUGCCUGGAAGAAACAUGUACUAAGAUUUCAGACAGUGGACCAUACCAUUUCUUUACCUUUAUGUUAGCUGAAGGUCUGCAGGUCUCACGCCCAUCAGUGGCUAGCGCCUCUGCUCCUGUGCGAAACUGUAGGUAAAUGUAAGUAGCAGUAGCAACUAUCUAUCUUGUUUAAUACACUGUACUUUCUUGUUUUCUGAAUUAGACUGUGUCAAGUUUGUAUAGAUUGACACGAAUGUUAGCUAGUUUAUAACUUUUGCUUAAGUUACAGAUUAGCUAACAAAUGUUAGCUAGCUGAUAGCACACCCUUUAAUUUCCGAUGUUGGCUUGUCAUUUCAUUACCAAUGUGAAAUGUCAUGUGAUUUAAUUUUUAACAAAAACUGAUGCUCAGUCAUGAGCAGUGAGAUAAUGGAGGAUAAGUUGUUGUUGAGAUAUAUUUUGACAAAAAUGUAGAGUUUAUUAUUUCAUUUUAAUAGUCUUUUGCAUUGCUGUAGUGGUUUAGUUAGUCUUUUACCUUUUAAGAGGCACCCCCUUUGUUUUCCCUCAAGAAUUCAGGAGUUUUACCUUGUUGGGUAAUUGAACAAUAUUAAAAUACAUGUGUACUGA